AUUUUCUUAACGUCUAUCUUCAAACGGAGGUUUAGUUGUUUAUCGUGUUUUUUUUUGGAUUCAGAAACCAAAAAUUGGCUGUUUUUCCCCCUGUUUCUUUGUUUUUGGUUUGAAACGACAAACAAAAAAGAGGUGGUUUUCUCGUUUGUUCAUUUCAUCGUUCAAACGAAAAAACAAACUAUCAGAACGUACAGGGACCAUGGUCGCCACCAACUCCUGAAAGUACCAUACACUGAGUAGAAUUGUUUUAAAAGAAUUACAAUUUAGCAGAUGUAUUGUAAAUCCUUGUUCCUGAUUGGUUAUUAAUCACGUGUUCACUUGAAAGUUGCCCUUUAAGUUUCCUUCUACACUUUGCCAUAAGUAGGAGUUGCUUGAUGAAUGUGUCUUAUUCUUCACUUCUUGUCUUAUUCUUCACUGUCAUGAACCAGGUCUGUAGCCAUGAAAAACAAGAGAGGGGAUGUGAUGUGACUUAUCCUAAACUGUCUCUUUAGAGCGUUCUUACAUGGAAUUGUUAGAAGUUUGAUGAAUACAGGCUUUGCUCUGCUUUUUCCACUGGAAAUGAAAAUUAUUCUGUUCUUCCUCUUGAAUCAUCUUGCAAAUCCUGGAAGUACACUGAGUCCCAACAACGAACAAUGAGCUGACGGUUGAAGGAAGAUGCGUGAGUCAUGCAGCAUUCGUGGUCGCCGCUGGGAGGCAAUGACACACAAGAAGGCUUGCACAAUGUGCCUCCUAUGUUUUGCCAGCUGUAGCUUGUUUGCCUUCAUUAUCCCCCCACUCCCCACCUCCCCAUCCUCUUUACUACUGCCACAACUGAUCUGAGUAUGAGAUGGAGCCAAAAGACUAAUGACGCAUUCGCCAUCCAGCAGUUGAGUAAACAGGACUGAGGCUCCCUGCUGGCUGCUGCAUGCGGUGACCUGGGAAUGAAGGAGCACAGUCGUGCUGACUCGGUGAAUCUGAACACCACAGAGGCUGGCUUGUCACAGUGCCAACCAUUCGAUUUGUUUAGAGACACAAUAUGGCCAUCUUGGCCGUGUGGUGGAAAAGACUCCAGGGGAGCCAGUACUUGCCAGCCAACUUUCUCUUGUCGCUCUUUCUCUCUUAUUUUUCACUGUGAGACCACACUCAGCAGGGAGCAGUUGAAGUAGGAAAUGCGCUUUCAUGGAAGAUUCAAAGCCGUGAUCAAACAUACAGUGUUCUCUGAAAUAAUUCAACAUUUUGACACUUUCAUUGUGUCUGCUUGAUUUAUGGCUCUCAGCCUCAUAACAUAUUCAUGUUGCUUGUUUACAUGUUUUUUUUUUUAUAGUUCUCUAAAAUAUCAUGAGUUUUUAUACGCAUUAUUUUAUUUCACGCAAAAAAAGCUUCUAACAAAUAAACCUGUUUGAAUUAUAUCUGCUAUGACAAAUAAAAGCCAUUAUCACUUCCA